UUUUUUCUAAAUUGUUGUCGCCGUUCUCAGCCAUUUUGGGAUUAGCUUUCUUUAUCUCUCAAACCCUAAUUUUUCUCCCUUUUGAAUCUCAUCUCUGUCCGCUCGCGCCGGUCAAUCGGUUUAUAAAAAUUUCCUCUGUCCGGUCGCUGUCGCUGCUUCGUAUAAAAAGUUAGCUUUGCUGUGGUGAGGCAUGGUCUCGAACCCUAAUUUUUCUACCUUUAUGUUCUCAUCUCUCUCUGCUCGCUCCGAACGGUUCGUUUGUAAAAAUUCAUCUCUGUGCCGUCGUUGUCACUGCUUGGUAUAAAAAGUUGGCUUUGCUGUCUUCAAUUCCUUUUUCUUGGAAAGUGGAAGCCCCAAAUUUGAGCUUAGAGCUUUAAUUUCUUAAUCAUUCGUUUCUCUGCACUCUCAUCAGUCAGUCUUGAUACUCUCUCAGAGGAGCCUACAUAUUUAAACGUGUUGCUGGUAUAAAAUUUUCUCAUCUAUUUGCAAACAAGUUUGGCAAAUCACAGUACAAAGGUGCUUGAAAAAUUUCAACUCUGCAAGUUGGAAAAAAAAAGAGGGUUUCAAAAUACUGUGCUUUCACGCUUUGGCGUCUUUGUCUUUGUGUUUGAAAGAUUUCUGUAAUAAAGGUGAGUGAGCUAAAAUUUUGGAAUUGUUAAGAUCAAAUUUUAAGUAUUUGUUUCGAUUUUGUUUUAUAAAGUAUGAAUAAACUUGGUAUUUCCUUUAACUUUAAUUGUGUUUAAAUUGAAAUCCUAAUUUUGAUGGUUUGUUCAUAAUUAAUGUUUGUUAUGUUUUUUUGCUGUGUGAUUUAUGUGUUAAUUUUUUUUCACUUUUUUUUUCUUUUUUUUUUCCAAUCUUUUUUGCAGCUCUUCGCUUUUCCUCAUAACAAUUUGUUUUCAACAUGUCUAAAAGAUCUAUAAAUGCGUUGGUCAAUGAUGAUAACAACAAAAAACAAACAAAUAGUGAUAAUGAAUAUAAUGUCUUGGUUCAGUGUGACCAUCAGCCAAGAAAAGUGUGUAGAACCAGUUAUCUUGAAAAUCAUGAAAACGCUGUUUUUUAUCUCAGAUUGAUACAUUUCUUCGAACUCCAUAUUUUAAACAUCAGUGUAGUAGUAGUGGAUCAGCUGUUGUACAAUGCGAUUUGAAAAAUGCUAAUUAUGAUAAAGUGCAGCAUACUGCAUCUGUUGAAAAAAUUGUUCAGCCUUCUGAUCGAAAAGGUAAAAAACCUAUUAAUUUGUUGGAUAAUUCUGAUAACAUGGCUGAAAAAACGAUUGAUCCUCAAAAUUACAAUCUUAUGAACAAGGGCCAAGCAUUCUUCCAGAAAAGCAGAACUGGUAUGUUUUUUAAUUUAUAUAAAAAUAUAUUUCUGUUAUCGUGUAAAUUUAUAUUUAGUUUAUUGCAUAUCUUUCCUAAGUCCCGUUUUCUUUCUUUUCUUUCCUGUGUAUUUUUUUUGCAGGGGUUUUAAAAGAUUACUAGAUAUUUGUGCCCGCGCGUUACUGCGGGAUUGAAAAUUUCAUGAAAGAUUAUGCAACUUCAUUCUCUUCGAAAUUGCCUAAAUAGCAAGAACAAUUGCACAUGGAGCCUACCUUCUGAGUAGCACUUAAAAGCUCUCUUUGAACUCUCCUGUGCUCAUAUGAGAGGGAAUUUUGUCGUCGCUCAAUUUCAAGUCUAGCCUCUCUUUCCAUAAUGAGAGAUUCCAUUGCAGCCUGAUAGACAUAUUCAAACAUUUAAUAAUGUACAGAAGUUACCUAAAUUCAGCCACAAUGAAUAUCAAACCCAUCUACUUACCAUCUUAUCCAACUCU